ACGCUCGACACCUACGGGAGACAGCAGUGGGGAAUAUUGCACAAUGGGGGAAACCCUGAUGCAGCGACGCCGCGUGGAGGAAGAAGGUCUUCGGAUUGUAAACUCCUGUUGUUGGGAAAAGAGGAUGGUACCCAACAAGGAAGUGACGGCUAACUACGUACCAGCAGCCGCGGUAAUCUGAGCGGGCUGGCAAGGC
rnacentral:rRNA from 1 species